rnacentral:rRNA from 1 species
AUGUUCUUAAGAGGAAGUACAAGAGAGAUGAUACAGAUUGAGGGAAGAGAAAGCUGUGCGAGGCAGCCGGGAGGAAGAAGAGGCGGGCGACGGAGAGGCGGCGCCAACACCAAGGAGGUGCAGUGGUGGUCCCUGUGUGGUGAUGGCGCAGUUGCUAUGAUGGGGUGCACAUGCCAGCGGAGGUGCUGGUUGGCAUUGGCUGACUGUGUGGGGCUGGUGGUUUUGCUGCUCCGAGCGAAAGGUUGGGCGGUGCUUGCCGGCCGGCGGCACCCGUGGGCAUCACUAUCCUCCUUGGAGGCACCGCCAAAGAGAUCUGUGAACCCUCAACUCUUGGGUCAAGAUCUUCACGUGUAA